CCAUACCACACUGAACGCGCCUGAUCUCCUCUGAUCUUGGAAACUAAGCCGGGUCAGGCCUGGUUAGUACUAGAAUGUGAGUUUAACUAGAGUGAACUAUAAUCCAAAUAUGGA
rnacentral:rRNA from 1 species